GACGAACGCUGGCGGCGUGCUUAACACAUGCAAGUCGAACGAUGAACUUGGAGCUUGCUCUGGGGGAUUAGUGGCGAACGGGUGAGUAACACGUGAGUAACCUGCCCUGGACUCUGGGAUAACUUCGAGAAAUCGGAGCUAAUACCGGAUAGGACCUUGCACCGCAUGGUGUGGGGUGGAAAGUUUGUCGGUUUGGGAUGGACUCGCGGCCUAUCAGCUUGUUGGUGAGGUAAUGGCUCACCAAGGCGUCGGCGGGUAGCCGGCCUGAGAGGGUGACCGGCCACACUGGGACUGAGACACGGCCCAGACUCCUACGGGAGGCAGCAGUGGGGAAUAUUGCACAAUGGGCGCAAGCCUGAUGCAGCAACGCCGCGUGCGGGAUGACGGCCUUCGGGUUGUAAACCGCUUUUAGUAGGGAAGAAGCCUUCGGGUGACGGUACCUGCAGAAAAAGGACCGGCUAACUACGUGCCAGCAGCCGCAGUAAGAC
rnacentral:rRNA from 1 species